rnacentral:misc_RNA from 1 species
AAAUGCGAUAAGUAAUGUGAAUUGCAGAAUUCAGUGAAUCAUCGAAUCUUUGAACGCACAUUGCGCCCGCCAGUAUUCUGGCGGGCAUGCCUGUUCGAGCGUCAUUUCAACCAUCAAGCCCCCGGCUUGUGUUGGGGACCUGCGGCUGCCCGCAGGCCCUGAAAGACAGUGGCGGGCUCGCUGUCACACCGAGCGUAGUAGCAUACAUUCUCGCUCAGGGCGUGCUGCGGGUUCCGGCCGUUAAACGACCUUCAUAACCCAAGGUUGACCUCGGAUCAGGUAGGAAGACCCGCUGAACUUAAGC